AUACAAGUCGAACGAGAAGGUGUAGCAAUACACUUGUACAGUGGCGAACGGGUGAGGAGUGCAUGGGUAACCUACCCUCGAGUGGGGAAUAACCAGCCGAAAGGUUGGCUAAUACCGCGUACGCUUCCCGGUCUGCGGAUCGGGAAGGAAAGUCAUACCAUGGGUAUGGCGCUCAAGGAUGGGCUCAUGUCCUAUCAGCUUGUUGGUAGGGUAACGGCCUACCAAGGCUUCGACGGGUAGCUGGUCUGAGAGGACGAUCAGCCACACUGGCACUGCGACACGGGCCAGACUCCUACGGGAGGCAGCAGUAAGGAAUAUUGCGCAAUGGGCGAAAGCCUGACGCAGCGACGCC
rnacentral:rRNA from 1 species